rnacentral:lncRNA from 1 species
GUGAAAAAUUAGCUUUUGACAACACUUAAUUAUAUGUAUUAAUGUACUGUAAUAUUGAUUGAAAUUCUGUUCUACAGACAUGUCAAUAUAUUGACUUUUUAAAUACUUGGGAAUUUCAGAUAUUAUUUACUGGUAUAAUUUACUGGAAUUUCAACAGUGAUCAUGAAAAGAGAAGACUUUCUUCAAGUAAAUAAAUAAUUACUGUUUCCAAUAGAUUUGAGGCUUUGCUUGUUGAUGAGGGUAAACAGGUCAUAUCACAGCAAUUUUCCAGGACAGACCUUGAAGCCACUACCCACUUGAUUACCAGAUACUGGGCCACAUAGGAUAAAUGGUGCUGCUGUGCAAUCUUCUGCUUCUAGUUUUACAGCAGCACCAGAAUGACAGAAGAUCUGUAUUGGGUUCUGAGUUGGAUAGUUACUACCUCUUCACCUGACUUGUCUACACUGUCAACUUGAAUAACCAGUGAAAAAUAAUGAAAUAAUGGCGAUCAACCCUCUUCUGCUCUUGGCAUCUCAGCUUUUCCAAAGCCUUAAAUCUCCAUCUCAACUGAACAUGGAAAAUAAUCUUAAUGAGUCACAAGAAACCUAGGAUUGAAGCAACUCAUAAUAUCACAAAAGAAGGUAAGAUAAAAAGAAAUACAAGAAACCUAGAUACAUUCCAGAUUUGAGUUAUUAAUAUUGUAUAUGUAGUGAG